rnacentral:tRNA from 1 species
GUCCCCAUAGUUCAAUGGAUAGAACUUAGGCCUCCGGAGUCUAAAAUGUUGGUUCGAAUCCAACUGGGGGCACCA